AAUAUUAAUUACGAAAGCAAAAAAUUAUGGCGGUAUUUUAAGCUUUUCAGAGGAAUUUGCUCUUUAAUGGAUAAAACACCUAGACCUUACUUAAAUUAGUACUUUUCAGUUUGUAUACCACUAUUAUAAUAAUAAUUUGUUAUUAUUAUUAAUAUUCUUAAAUUAGAAGAAAAUUAAGUCAAGGUGCAGCAUAAAUUUAUGAAUGAAGUGAAUUACAUUUCUUUUAAGAAAAAUAAAAUUGAAAUAAAACAUUUAGGAUUUGAUAGUAAAAUUAAAAUAUUAAG
rnacentral:rRNA from 1 species